GUUGAUUGAUUUGCCUGACCUAUUUUCCUAAUUAGAAUAUCAUGAACCUAGUCUUUAUUGCAUACUUUAUGCUAUUCAGUUCCUUAUGUGAUCACACCCUGUGAUUUCUUUCCUUUUAAAUAGUUGCUUAUUACCGUUCGACUUUUAUUCCUUAAUUAAAGGGAGUCAAUAUAUUAAUUUGAUUAUGAUUGAUGCUAGUUCCUUAAUUAGGAAUUGCUACCUUGUUUGUUUACUCGUAUUCUGUACUAUAAGUACCCUCCCCCAUUCUCUUUUGCAAACACCAACGCAUUGCAUAACACUUGACACACUCAGACACGAAUAAACUCCAUGUUCUGAACUCUCUCUUUCUUUCACACAAAUAUCUUUGGUGCUAUUUGUUAUUUUCAUAUAAUUUCUUUCACUUUCCUGUUGAAUGUUAAUCACUCAAUUGGCUAAGAUUGAGUGAUCCUGGUCACUUUUAUUACUCUGCUGGCCUCUACUGUGUUACUUGCUUUGAGUCUGCCUGCUGCUCACUUCUUGCAUACCGCUGCCCUGCUCUCUGCCUCUCUCUUCACACUACUGCUCACUUCUCUGCACAAUAUUGCUCACUAUUGCUCUGUGUUUACAUUAUUUUCAACUGGUAUGUAUCCUAUUUAUGCUACAGCCUAAAAAACAAUAUGCUUCUAUUGGUGUUGCACAUUCUUUUGUUCCUUGUGUGUUUCCCCUAGUGGUUCUGUUGUUCCUAUUGCAACUAGAAUGUAUUUGUACUAAUUAGUAAGCCUAGCAUGUUCAUUACCCCUUUGCCUACCCCAAUGCAUGUUUCCCCUUUGCUUUAGUAUACUACUAGCAUCCUCUGGGCUACUCCAUAGCCCUAAAACACCUUCCUAAGGAUGAUUUGAUUUGGUGUCUGGUGAUGUAAGAACUGUACUCCUGUUUGAAGCAUGAACUCUCCUUUAAUGCGUGUGACUUAUUGUCUUAUCUUAUUUAAGCUACAGCCUCAAAACAACAUGCUUCUAUUGGUGUUGCACUUUCUUUUGUUCCUUAUGUGUUUUUACUUGUGGUUCUGUUGUUCCUAUUGCAACUAGCAUGUAUCUAUUCUAAUUAGUAAGCCUAGCAUGUUCAUUAACCCAUAGACUACCACAAUGCAUGUUUCCCCUUUGCUUCUGUAUACUACUAGCAUCCUCUAGGCUACGCCAUAGCCUUAAAACACCUUCCUGAGGAUGAUUAGGUUUGGUAUCUGGUGUUGUAAGAAUCGGACUCCUGUUUGAAGCAUGAACUCUCCUUUAAUGUGUGUGACUAUUUGUCUUGUUUGUGAGCUGUUUCUUCCCUUUACCUUUACCUUUGUCUGUGUGACUGUCACUUUCAAAACUGGCCCCAAAGUAACUGUUUUCAAACUCAGUUAAAAUUUUCACUCUUCUACUAUUUUUCUCAAACUUUCCUUCAUGUAAAACCUUUUUCAACUCAACACCUUCAAAUUCCACAACAAUCACACUACCUUUAGAAUUAAGGUUCUUCCCCUUUGUGUAAGCGUUGCUUUGGGUACCUUGAUUACACACUGAACUUUGAUGCACAAGGUUGGCAAUUCCAC
rnacentral:lncRNA from 1 species